CUACGGGCUGCUCCAGUGGGGAAUCUUGCACGAUGGGCGAAAGCCUGAUGCAGCAACGCCGCGUGCGGGAAGAAGGCCCUAGGGUUGUAAACCGCUUUCAGUAGGGAAGAAAAUGACGGUACCUACAGAAGAAGGUGCGGCCAACUACGUGCCAGCAGCCGCGGUGACACGUAGGCACCAAGCGUUAUCCGGAUUUAUUGGGCGUAAAGGGCUCGUAGGCGGUUUGGUAAGUCGGGUGUGAAAACUCUGGGCUCAACCCAGAGAGGCCACCCGAUACUGCUAUGACUAGAGUACGGUAGGGGAGCGGGGAAUUCAUGGUGUAGCGGUGAAAUGCGCAGAUAUCAUGAGGAACACCAGCGGCGAAGGCGCCGCUCUGGGCCGUAACUGACGCUGAGGAGCUAAAGCAUGGGUAGCAAACAGGAUUAGAUACCCCAGUAGUC
rnacentral:rRNA from 1 species